UCGGUUAUUUUGGGAUGAACUAUGUUAUAUAAACACAUUUUUAUGGACAAAAACACGACAUCCACAUUCUUUCCCUAUGUGCAGAAAUACAUAGUUAGGUUUGUUUCAUUCAAAACAGAGGAAUUCAUUGCAGACACUAUCAAAUCGUCAAACUCAUGAGAUAGCAUUUCAGUCAUUGAGGAAGUUAUGAUGCAUGCAGCUAAAUACCGAUCGACAAUAUUGGAUACAAACGAUGUACAAUACAAAGGUUAGUUGCUAAAAUAUGUAUCUUUGAACCAA